AUGAGACCCUGCCAUUCUUCACCACCCACAUCUGAUGUCCCCUUCCCCUGCACUGGCCACCUUGGUUCAUGGCGCCAUCCAGUCACCCAGCCUCGGGAUGGACCCAUCAUCGCUGACGCCUCCACUUCUUUCACAUCCCAAGUCAGUUCAGCCACCAUAGGCAACGGGCACGAGUCACACGACACAACAGAAAACAGUUUAAGAAAAUGCUACCCCAGAGCAGGUUUCUCUUGUCCUUGGAAACAGCCUGGCAUGAAGAGCAAUCUUUGCUUCCUCCACUUAAUCUUGCCUCAGCCGAGCCUGCAGUCAGCAUCUCUCACCGGGCCCACCUCAGCUCCAGGGGCCAUUCGAGGGACCAGCUGGAGUUUUCUGGUGACCAGGCCAUGUGCAAGUUGCUGGGAGCGGAGAGAUGAAAGAUAAAGAUUGUCUAAGACAAUGCGAAUGACCCCACUGAGCCAGAGUCCAUCUCCAACAAAGGGAGCCUCCUUCGCGUAAAGAAGUCAGCGCUGCAACAUCCAAGUGUAGCAGCCAUUCCAGCUGUGAGUGACUGGCUGCCACGGCGUCGUCUCCAGUAAGUCUCUUCUCCAUGCUCCCACCAAGCCUCUGCUGCCAGGGAACCCAACCUGUAAGAAAAUAAGCAUGUCUCCUCGGAAUAUUGAAAGGAACGCACAGCAGAGUUCCUCGGUGGCUCAGUGGGUUAAGGAUCCAGCAGUGGUGUGGGUUCCACCCCUGGUCCAGGAACGUCUGCAUGCUAUGGGCAUGGCCAAAAAAUGACCAAAAAUGCCUGUGCUCUCCAUUGUCCCGCCACAGCUCCCUGCACGUGCUUGCUUUGAGUCACAUGGAUUCUUCUCCGGCGAAUGAGAUGAGGGCUGCCAUUCUUUCUCUGAAGGAGAACCGCAGGCACAGGCAGGACGUGAGGGCCUCUGGCACCUGUGUUCAGCUCUGUCUGUCCUUUUGGAGUUGCUGCCAGAGAGCUUCCUUCUUGGGCUCUGUCUAGAUUUCAUUUAAAAAAAAAAAAAAUCUGUUAGACAUGACGCUGUUUUUACAUGCAUUCCCUUUGGGACCAUUGUAAUUCUCUGAUAUUUGAUUUAAAAUGCUGAUUUCUAUAAAAUUGCCAAGAGUUUCUG
rnacentral:lncRNA from 9 species